AUUGAACGCUGGCGGCAUGCCUUACACAUGCAAGUCGAACGGUAGAGUAGCAAUACUUGAGAGUGGCGAACGGGUGAGUAAUAUAUCGGAACGUGCCCAGUCGUGGGGGAUAACGUAGAGAAAUUUACGCUAAUACCGCAUACGAUCUAAGGAUGAAAGCGGGGGAUUCGCAAGAACCUCGCGCGAUUGGAGCGGCUGAUAUCAGAUUAGGUUGUUGGUGAGGUAAAAGCUCACCAAGCCGACGAUCUGUAGCUGGUUUGAGAGAACGACCAGCCACACUGGGACUGAGACACGGCCCAGACUCCUACGGGAGGCAGCAGUGGGGAAUUUUGGACAAUGGGCGAAAGCCUGAUCCAGCAAUGCCGCGUGCAGGAUGAAGGCCCUCGGGUUGUAAACUGCUUUUGUACGGAACGAAAGGUUUGUCUUAAUACGAUGAGCUCAUGACGGUACCGUAAGAAUAAGCACCGGCUAACUACGUGCCAGCAGCCG
rnacentral:rRNA from 1 species